rnacentral:rRNA from 1 species
GACGAACGCUGGCGGCGUGCUUAACACAUGCAAGUCGAACGAUGAAGCAGAGAAACGCGAUCUUCGGUUCAAAUUUCACUUCGGAUUAGUGGCAGACGGGUGAGUAAUGCGCGUGCAACCUACCUCUUACAAGGGGAUAGCCUCGGGAAACCGUGAUUCAUACCAUAUGACACAUUCAUAAGGUAUCUUAAGAUUGUUAAAGCUACGGCGGUUAGCGAUGGGUUCGCGUCCCAUUAGCUAGUUGGUGAGGUAACGGCCCACCAAGGCGACGAUGGGUAACCGGGCGGAGAAGGUGAACGGUCGCAAUGGAGCUGAGGCACGGACCAAACUCGUACGGGGGGCAGCGGUGGGGAGUAUUGCACAAUGGAGGGAACUCUAGUGCAGCGGCGCGGCGUGAGCGAUGAAGGAAUUCGUAUCGUAAAGCUCUGUUCUAUGGGAAGAGAGGGACUGUACCAUGGGAGAAAGCCCCGGCUAAAUACGUG